CCCACAGGCCGUAAACCCAAGGUUUCCAGGGGAAGGUUCGUCCGCCCUGGGUUAGUCGGGACCUAAGCUGAGGCCGAAAGGCGUAGGUGAUGGACAACAGGUUGAUAUUCCUGUACUACCGAUAACCGUUUGAGAGAAGGGAUGACACAGUAGGAUAAGCUAAGCACACUGUUGGUUAUGUGUGCCCAAGCAUUGAGGCAGUCAAAGUAGGCAAAUCCGCUUUGAUAAUGCUGGGAUGUGAUGGGGAGCGAAAUUUAGUAGCGAAGUAGCUGAUUUCACACUGUCAAGAAAAGUCUCUAUCGAGGUUAAAGGUACCCGUACCGCAAACCGACACAGGUGGGUGAGGAGAGUAUCCUAAGGCCAGCGAGAGAACUGUUGUUAAGGAACUCGGCAAAAUGACCCCGUAACUUAGGGAUAAGGGGUGCCACCAUCAGGUGGCCGCAGAGAAUAGGCCAAAGAGACUGUUUACCAAAAACAUAGGUUUCUGCUAAGUCGCAAGAC
rnacentral:rRNA from 1 species